ensembl:lncRNA
AUGGUCCUUCGAGCCGGAUGCACUAGGUUUGCCUCAGAGAUGGAAUCAGUCCCUGAGUAUAAAGCUCGCGGCGCACGCCCCAAACGACAUGCUCGCCCACCUGUGCGCUACGCAGAUUAUGAGUUGGAGUACCCAGGCUACAUUAGCCAGGCACAUAGAGAGGAUGUAGAGCUCACACACCAAGAGGACAAGGCCAGGAUGACCUCCCUCGCUUCCCCCUUUAGCUACAACCUAGCCAGCCCUCAGUGGAGGCGGGAUGCUAUUCUCCAUGAAACGGCCUCGCGCUAUGGAGCUCAGAGCCAACAGCACAUCCAGGAGAAUCAGCUAGCCCCCCAGCUGUAUCCAGAGAGAAGUCGUGGGGAACAAGCCUAUGAUCACUCUACUCCUCUACCCUUCGUGCUCCCCUAUACACAUCCAAAUAAGCAAAUAAGUGCAGAGUUAGAGGAUAUCCGUCAGGAGCGCCACCUCAUCCAGCAGACCCAGCAACGUAUGUCAUCAGAUCUGGUCGAACUCAAGGCACUGCGAGCAGAAAUGAGACAGUUAGUGGAAGCUGUCCAGAGCAUGCAGGGCCCAUCUUCUCUCCAAACCAGUAAGUUAAUGCAGUCACCGCUACCGGGUGAUGCAGCAGAGAUUGAGGAGGAUGAUGACUGGCCUGCUCCACCACCGUGGCCAGAUCCAGUUGAGGAAGCACCACUGCCAGGGUUGAACCCCCAUCACAUAAAUGCAUGUGCUUUUCCAGCCAUUAGGACAGAGGCAAUGGCAAUCCCACCUUUCAAUAAGUUUGUGGACCACCCAGGACAGAGUCUGUCACCAGAUCCUCCCCCUGCUCCCAGGUUUCCAGAUAAAGCCUCCCAUAAUCCACCUCCUUGGUUUAAGCCGGUUUAUCUUCCACCUCGCUCAGGCAAUUUCCCACUGGGAGGGUCCAAGCAUCCGCGCGCCGCCUAUGGGGACAGUAAGACUGAGCAUGACUGUAAUGCAGCAUCCCCUGAGCAGCAGUUCAAUCUGUCCUCUGCACAGCCACUGCCGGACAGAUCGAAUCUGGGCAGGACUUCUAUCGCCUCAGAGACAGUUUACCAUGGUCCCCGCCCAACAAUUCCCAACUUCUCAAGUCGAGACCCUAGUGAGUUUGCUAGGCUUAAGAUGGCAUUGGGGAAUCUUCUACCUGAGGACGCGACUGAGCUGUUCAAGUAUCAAGUGUUGGUUGAUCACCUGCACCUAGAGGAGGCCAGAUUAAUAGCCGAUGCUUACCUCAACUCUACCACACCCUUCACUGAUACUAUGGAGGCCCUCAAUGACAAAUUCGGCCAGCCACAUCAGAUAGUGCUGAGGCGUAUUGCUGCGAUGAUGGACUCACCUGACAUCAGGCGUGGAGACGUCUCGGCAUUUGAGAGAUUUGCCCUCCAGAUACAGUCACUAGUGGGGAUGUUAAGGACACUAGGCCAAGAAGGAGAAGUGGAACUACACUGUGGUUCACAUGUUGCUCGCCUGCUUAGUAAACUACCCCCCGAGCAGAGAGCAGAGUUCCGCUGCUGCAUGUUCCAACAAGGUGUGAGGAUGCAUACCUUGGCAGAUCUCGCAGGGUGGCUUAAGUAUGAGUCCUGGUGCCAAGACUCUGAAGGGCAACUAGCAGCGAAAGUGACAAAGGAGAAACAGUGGUCCAGGCCUGAGGUGCGCCAGGGUAAGAGAUCCAUCACAGUCCUUCAUGGUGCAAAGGAGGUAAUGACAAAGCCACAGGCAGUGAGGCUAGGUGGUGUGGCCAGUAAGAACAAACCAUACUGUCCAUUCUGUAACACAGAAGAGCACUAUCUCAGCCAGUGCACAGUGGUAUCCAAGUUGACAAAGGACCAGCUAACAGAGUGGAUAAAGAGUAACAAGAGGUGCUGGCGCUGCACACAGUCACACCAGGCAGCCCAGUGUAAUCUGAGGAAGACGUGCAGCCUCUGCCAAGGGAAGCACCUGCAGGUACUGCAUGAUGUCAACGUUAGAACACUGAAAGGGUCACCAACAACAGCGAUGGUGAGCGGUGACUCGAAGGCGGCGACCGACGUCCUGUAUCUAGACAGACCCACUGAAGGCUGCAGAGUCCUUCUAAAGAUCGUCAAAGUCUGCAUUCAUUAUGGCAAGCGAACAAUCAGCACUUAUGCCGUCUUGGAUGACGGGUCAGAGAGGACAAUGCUUCUGCCAGAGGCUGCCGAGAAGUUAGGCAUGCAAGGGGUCACAGAGGAUGUCCCACUGCGCACGAUUAGGCAGGACGUGCAGACUCUCAGAGGUGAGUCAGUGUUGUUCUCUGUUUCCUCUCCCUCAAGGCCCAGGACCAGGUUCAAGAUUGCUGGGGCCUUCACUGCUGCACGCAUCGGACUUGCAGGCCACACUUAUCCCAUGGAGCAACUCAGAGAAAGGUAUAAACACCUGAUUGGCCUUCCGAUCCACACCUUGAUAAAUGUGAAACCCUUGCUACUCAUUGGCAGUGACCAUCCCCAUCUGGUUACCCCCGUUGAACCAGUCAGGCUGGGACCUCCAGGAGGGCCUGCUGCUAUUCGCACCAGGCUAGGUUGGGCGCUACAAGGGCCAGCAAGUAUAGUCGGCCAGCUUGCCCAACCACAGCAGUGCUUGCUGACAACUGUGGCACCUCAGGUCAGUCAAUUAAUGAAACAUGUGGGGAAACUAUGGCAGGUUGACAUCAUCCCGUUCCGAAACGAGAAGGUUGUUACUCGUUCAAGGCAAGACCAAGAGGCCAUACGCAUUCUGGAGACCAGAAUUGUCCGAGUAGAGGUUGAAGGCAUACUUCGCUAUGCCACCCCACUGCUUCGCCGGAAGGGGAUGCCUAUACAGGCCACCAAAGACGCUGUCAUGCCAAGUCUACGGGGUGUGGAGAGAAGGCUGGCUAAAGACCCAGAACGAGCUGAAGCCUACAAGGUGGAGAUGGAGAAGCUUAUCAAGGCUGGCUCCAUCGUUAAGUGUGGCUCUGGGACACCUGCGACAGAAGCUCAGGAGGCGUGGUACAUCCCUCAUCACAUGGUGAGCCAUAAUGGUAAGAACCGCUUGGGUUUCAACUGCUCAUUUCAGUACAGAGGACAGAACUUGAACGACUACCUGCUGCCUGGGCCCACCUUAGGUGCGUCGCUUCUGGGAGUUCUAUUACGCUUCAGAGAGCAUGCAGUUGCAGUGAGUGGGGACAUUAAAGGCAUGUUCAACCAGGUUCGUCUCUUACCAGAAGAUUGUGCCCUGCUCAGAUUUGUCUGGCGUGACAUCAGUGACGAGAGCCCUCCAGCAGUCUACGAGUGGCGGGUGCUCCCGUUCGGAACCACGUGUAGCCCCUGCUGUGCCACAUUCGCCCUGCAGUGUCACAUCGUGGACAACAGCCAGCCAGGUGAUGACGUGAGACUCUCAGUCGAAAGGUGUUUUUAUGUGGACAACUGCCUUCAGAGUUUCCCCACCGUGGAAGAGGCAAGGAACCUUGUCGACAAGUUACGGGCCAUCCUAGCCCCAGCAGGGUUUGACCUACGACAGUGGGCCAGCAAUGAACGUGACGUCAUCAGUCAUUUACCAGAAGAGAGCUGCUGUUAG